UACAGAGGUCUCAAGCGUUGUUCGGAUUCAUUGGGCGUAAAGGGUGCGUAGGCGGCGCGAUAAGUCGGGUGUGAAAUCUCGGAGCUUAACUCCGAAACUGCAUUCGAUACUGCCGUGCUUGAGGACUGGAGAGGAGACUGGAAUUUACGGUGUAGCGGUGAAAUGCGUAGAUAUCGUAAGGAAGACCAGUGGCGAAGGCGGGUCUCUGGGCCGAUACUGACGCUGAGGAGCGAAAGCGUGGGGAGCGAACAGG
rnacentral:rRNA from 1 species